AAAGUACUCCCUCCGUCCCAAAAUUCUUGUCUUAGAUUUGUCUAGAUACGGAUGUAUCAAGUCACAUUUUAGUAUUAGAUACAUUCGUAUCUACAAAAAUCUAAGACAAGAAAUGUGGGACAUAGGUAGUAGUUG
rfam:Triticum aestivum genome assembly, contig: Triticum_aestivum_CS42_TGACv1_scaffold_569061_7AS